GCGGUGAGGACAAGGUUCCUGGCAGUGAGGACAAGGAUACUAGCGGUGAGGACAAGGUUCCUGGCGGUGAGGACAAGGUUACUGGCGGUGAGGACAAGGUUCCUGGCGGCGAGGACAAGGUUCGUGGCGGUGAGGACAAGGUUCCUGGCGGUGAGGACAAGGUUACUCGCGGUGAGGACAUGGUUCCCGGCGGUGAGGACAAGGUUCCUGGCGGUGAGGCAAGGUUCCUGGUGGUGAGGACAAGGUUACUAGCGGUGAGGACAAGGUUCCUGGCGGUGAGGACAAGGUUACUAGCGGUGAGGACAUGGUUUCUGGCGAUGAGGACAAGGUUCCUGGCGGUGAGGACAAGGUUCCUGGUGGUGAGGACAAGGUUCCUGGCGGUGAGGACAAGGUUACU
rnacentral:lncRNA from 1 species